GGGGAAUUUUGGACAAUGGGGGCAACCCUGAUCCAGCCAUGCCGCGUGAGUGAAGAAGGCCUUCGGGUUGUAAAGCUCUUUCGGCGGGGAAGAAAUGGCAACGGCUAAUAUCCUGCGCGGAUGACGGUACCUUGACAAGAAGCACCGGCUAACUACGUGCCAGCAGCCGCGGUAAUACGUAGGGUGCGAGCGUUAAUCGGAAUUACUGGGCGUAAAGCGUGCGCAGGCGGUUGUGUAAGACAGGUGUGAAAUCCCCGGGCUCAACCUGGGAACUGCGUUUGUGACUGCAUCACUCGAGUACGGCAGAGGGAGGUGGAAUUCCGCGUGUAGCAGUGAAAUGCGUAGAUAUGCGGAGGAACACCGAUGGCGAAGGCAGCCUCCUGGGCCUGUACUGACGCUCAUGCACGAAAGCGUGGGGAGCAAACA
rnacentral:rRNA from 1 species